GACGAACGCUGGCGGCGUGCUUAACACAUGCAAGUCGAACGAAGUGGCGAACGGGUGAGUAAUACGUGGGUAACCUGCCCUCCUUUUUGGGAUAAGCCUUGGAAACGGGGUCUAAUACCGAAUAAAGGGGGAUGGGCUCGCGGCCUAUCAGCUUGUUGGUGGGGUUAUGGCCUACCAAGGCGGUAACGGGUAGCGGGCCUGAGAGGGUGACCUGCCACAUUGGGACUGAGAUACGGCCCAGACUCCUACGGGAGGCAGCAGUGGGGGAUAUUGCACAAUGGGCGAAAGCCUGAUGCAGCGACGCCGCGUGGGGGAGGAAGGCGUUCGGGUUGUAAACCUCUUUCAGUAGGGACGCGGUACCUGCAGAAGAAGCACCGGCUAACUACGUGCCAGCAGCCGCGGUAAUUC
rnacentral:rRNA from 1 species